rnacentral:rRNA from 1 species
UACGGAGGGCGCUAGCGUUGUUCGGAAUUACUGGGCGUAAAGCGCACGUAGGCGGCUUUGUAAGUUAGAGGUGAAAGCCCGGGGCUCAACCCCGGAAUUGCCCUUAAGACUGCAUCGCUUGAAUCCGGGAGGGGUGAGUGGAAUUCCGCGUGUAGAGGUGAAAUUCGUAGAUAUUCGGAGGAACACCAGUGGCGAAGGCGGCUCACUGGUCCAUUACUGACGCUGAGGUGCGAAAGCGUGGGGAGCAAACAGG